rfam:Firmicutes bacterium CAG:822 genomic scaffold, scf34
CUAUGACUUGUUUUAGUCAUGGCGGAAGGAG